AUGGGGCUUUGGACCUUUAAUCAGGCAUUAGCACGCCGAGAGCUUAUGAGGAUGAUAGUGUUGCAUGAAUUGGCAUUCUCAUUGGUGGAAUAUGAUGGAUUUAGAAGAUUUGUCUCUAGUCUAAAUCCUAGCUUUAAGAUGAUAUGUAGAAAAACAGUGAAGGAGGACUGCAUGAAAGCAUUUAAGGAAGAGAAGAGAAUUCUGCAAAGGAUGUUCCAAAACUCCAAAAAUCCAAGAUUUCUUUGA
rnacentral:rRNA from 1 species